rnacentral:pre_miRNA from 1 species
GUGUGUAUCAUCUAGGGAUCUUGUUUAAAAUGCAGGUUUUGAUUCUGUUGACCCAGGGUGGGGCCUGGGAAUCUGCAUUUCUAACAAGUUCCUAGGUGAUACUGAU